rnacentral:rRNA from 1 species
GAUGAACGCUGGCGGCGUGCCUAAUACACGCAAGUCGAGCGAACAGACGAGGAGCUUGCUCCUCUGACGUUAGCGGCGGACGGGUGAGUAACACGUGGAUAACCUACCUAUAAGACUGGGAUAACUUCGGGAAACCGGAGCUAAUACCGGAUAAUAUAUUGAACCGCAUGGUUCAAUAGUAAAAGACGGUUUUGCUGUCACUUAUAGAUGGAUCCGCGCCGCAUUAGCUAGUUGGUAAGGUAACGGCUUACCAAGGCAACGAUGCGUAGCCGACCUGAGAGGGUGAUCGGCCACACUGGAACUGAGACACGGUCCAGACUCCUACGGGAGGCAGCAGUAGGGAAUCUUCCGCAAUGGGCGAAAGCCUGACGGAGCAACGCCGCGUGAGUGAUGAAGGUCUUCGGAUCGUAAAACUCUGUUAUUAGGGAAGAACAAAUGUGUAAGUAACUAUGCACGUCUUGACGGUACCUAAUCAGAAAGCCACGGCUAACUACGUG